AGAGUUUGAUCCUGGCUCAGAACGAACGCUGGCGGCGUGCUUAACACAUGCAAGUCGAACGCGAAAAUUUUCCUCGGAAAGUGAGUAGAGUGGCGCACGGGUGAGUAACGCGUAAGUUAUCUACCUCGGCAUCCGGAAUAACUCACCGAAAGGUGUGCUAAUACCGGAUACGUUGAGUAAUCAAGAAAGGUGGCCUCUGAAUAUGCUACUGUGCUGAGAUGAGCUUGCGUACCAUUAGCUAGUUGGUAGGGUAAUGGCCUACCAAGGCAACGAUGGUUAGCGGGUCUGAGAGGAUGAUCCGCCACACUGGAACUGAAACACGGACCAGACUCCUACGGGAGGCAGCAGUGAGGAAUAUUGCGCAAUGGGGGAAACCCUGACGCAGCGACGCCGCGUGGAUGAUGAAGGCCUUCGGGUCGUAAAAUCCUGUCAGAUGGAAAGAAAUGCAUGGUGGCUAAUACCUGCCAUGUUUGACGGUACCAUCGAAGGAAGCACCGGCUAACUCCGUGCCAGCAGCCGCGGUAAUACGGAGGGUGCAAGCGUUGUUCGGAAUUACUGGGCGUAAAGCGUGCGCAGGCGGUGAUGUAAGACAGAUGUGAAAUCCCCGGGCUCAACCUGGGACCUGCAUUUGUGACUGCAUCGCUAGAGUACGGUAGAGGGGGAUGGAAUUCCGCGUGUAGCAGUGAAAUGCGUAGAUAUGCGGAGGAACACCGAUGGCGAAGGCAAUCCCCUGGACCUGUACUGACGCUCAUGCACGAAAGCGUGGGGAGCAAACAGGAUUAGAUACCCUGGUAGUCC
rnacentral:rRNA from 1 species